AGGUCUUGGGAUAUUUGGGGUUAAGCAUCCUUGGGUUUGAAUAGUACUGGGCUGGGUGAUCUCUCGGGAAGUCCAAAUUUAGGAGCUU
rnacentral:rRNA from 1 species